rnacentral:rRNA from 1 species
GACGAACGCUGGCGGCGUGCUUAACACAUGCAAGUCGAGCGGUAAGGCCCUUUCGGGGGUACACGAGCGGCGAACGGGUGAGUAACACGUGGGUGACCUGCCCUCAGCUCUGGGAUAAGCCUGGGAAACUGGGCCUAAUACUGGAUAUGACUCCACGGUGCAUGUCGUGGGGUGGAAAGCCUUGUGCGGCUGAGGAUGGGCCCGCGGCCUAUCAGCUUGUUGGUGGGGUGANGGCCUACCAAGGCGACGACGGGUAGCCGGCCUGAGAGGGCGACCGGCCACACUGGGACUGAGACACGGCCCAGACUCCUACGGGAGGCAGGCAGUGGGGAAUCUUGCGCAAUGGGCGAAAGCCUGACGCAGCGACGCCGCGUGAGGGAUGACGGCCUGUGUAA